UACGUAGGUGGCAAGCGUUGUCCGGAUUUACUGGGUGUAAAGGGCGUGCAGCCGGAGAGACAAGUCAGAUGUGAAAUCCACGGGCUCAACCCGUGAACUGCAUUUGAAACUGUUUCCCUUGAGUGUCGGAGAGGUAAUCGGAAUUCCUUGUGCAGCGGUGAAAUGCGUAGAUAUAAGGAAGAACACCAGUGGCGAAGGCGGAUUACUGGACGAUAACUGACGGUGAGGCGCGAAAGCGUGGGGAGCAAACAGG
rnacentral:rRNA from 1 species